AUUGAACGCUGGCGGCAGGCCUAACACAUGCAAGUCGAACGAGUGGCGGACGGGUGAGUAAUGUCUGGGAAACUGCCUGAUGGAGGGGGAUAACUACUGGAAACGGUAGCUAAUACCGCAUACCAUCAGAUGUGCCCAGAUGGGCUGAGCUAGUGGGGGGGGUAACGGCUCAACAAGGCGCCGAUCCCUAGCUGGUCUGAGAGGAUGACCAGUAACACUGGAACUGAGACACGGUGCAGACUCCGACGGCAGGCAGCAGUGGGGAAUAUUGCACAAGGGGCGCGAGCCGGAUGCAGCCAUGCGGCGUGUAUGAAGAAGGCCUUCGGGUGGUAAAGUACAUUCAGCGGGGAGGCGUUACCCGCAGAAGAAGCACCGGCUAACUCCGUGCCAGCAGCCGCGGUAAUAC
rnacentral:rRNA from 1 species